AUUGAACGCUGGCGGCAGGCCUAACACAUGCAAGUCGAGCGGAUGAAGGGAGCUUGCUCCUGGAUUCAGCGGCGGACGGGUGAGUAAUGCCUAGGAAUCUGCCUGGUCGUGGGGGAUAACGUCCGGAAACGGGCGCUAAUACCGCAUACGUCCUGAUGGAGAAAGUGGGGGAUCUUCGGACCUCACGCUAUCAGAUGAGCCUAGGUCGGAUUAGCUAGUUGGUGGGGUAAAGGCCUACCAAGGCGACGAUCCGUAACUGGUCUGAGAGGAUGAUCAGUCACACUGGAACUGAGACACGGUCCAGACUCCUACGGGAGGCAGCAGUGGGGAAUAUUGGGCAAUGGGCGAAAGCCUGAUCCAGCCAUGCCGCGUGAGUGAUGAAGGUCUUCGGAUUGUAAAGCACUUUAAGUUGGGAGGAAGGAAAGUAAGUUUAUACCUUGCUGUUUUGACGUUACCAACAGAAUAAGCACCGGCUAACUUCGUG
rnacentral:rRNA from 1 species